rnacentral:rRNA from 1 species
GAUGAACGCUAGCUACAGGCUUAACACAUGCAAGUCGCGGGGCAGCAUGGGGGUUGCUUGCAAUCCCCGAUGGCGACCGGCGCACGGGUGAGUAACGCGUAUCCAACCUGCCCUUCACCACGGGAUAACCCGGCGAAAGUCGGACUAAUACCGUAUGUUGUCCAUUGACGGCAUCCGAUUUGGACGAAAGGUUUGGCGGUGAAGGAUGGGGAUGCGUCCGAUUAGCUGGACGGCGGGGUGACGGCCCACCGUGGCGACGAUCGGUAGGGGUUCUGAGAGGAAGGUCCCCCACACGGGAACUGAGACACGGUCCAGACUCCUACGGGAGGCAGCAGUGAGGAAUAUUGGUCAAUGGGCGUAAGCCUGAACCAGCCAAGUAGCGUGCAGGAUGACGGCCCUAUGGGUUGUAAACUGCUUUUAUGCGGGGAUAAAGUGGCCCACGUGUGGGUUUUUGCAGGUACCGCAUGAAUAAGGACCGGCUAAUUCCGUG